UCUCUUUACAAUAACUAUAAUAGACAAAACUACAUUAUGUGGUUUUCUGAAUUCUGUAUUCCACGAGUGUAUUUCCUGCAGGAAACCCCGAUGCCGCAGGCAGAGGGAUUUCCGGCAGGAAAUACACUCGUGGAAUACAGAAAUCAGAAAACCACAUAUAUGUAGUUUUGUAUUUAUUACAUACCCUACGUCAGAAAACCUUCAGCGUGCCAGUUUUACCAACGAAGAAAAAUGUCAAGAAUUGUUCACUCAGUGUCUGAGUCGUCAUCGACAGUGCACCACGACUGGUACAUCAAAGGUCGUCGCCAAUAAGGACAACAUCUAUGUUUUCCAGACGAAGUUUUAUAUAUAAAAAAAAGGAUAUUCAAAAACAGGAUUGUUGAAGAAAACAAAAACAUGCAAAAAAACGUACUUGAAUUUAAAAUGAAAUAAUGUUAAUGAACACGUUCAAUUAAUAUACUGGCGUGAUUGUUCUUUCUUCUUUCUCCUAAAAAGAUAAAUGUAUAUCAUGUAAAAUGUCCUUUGAACAGUUGUGUACUAUAAACACACAGAUUACAUGUAUGUGUCACGACUUUCUUUGUCAGAAUAUGGUAUGGCACAAUCUGACAUAGCAAACACAAAUAAAGAUGUUGACUUAA